GCAGUUUGCUAGGCGACGGCGGGCAGCUGGUCGGGAGCAGCCCUUCCUCGUAACCCGCCUGCAUCGCCACUCCAUGCUUAGGCACAUGCAUGAGCGCCCAGGGGCGCUCCAGAGCACCCUCCAUGGGUGCCUUAAGGACACGCUGGGGGCGUAAAGCACUUUUGUGGGUUUCUGAACAGAAAUGCGGGCUCUGGCCUGCUCUUAUAUCUUCCUGGCCUAGGGGGAGCCUCUGCUGCCUGAAAAUAUUGCUAUGACAGGCGGUAGAUAUGAGGAGGGAACUGUACUCUGCAUGUGCUCAGAGGCAAGCUCACCCCUGGCUCAGACUAUGAUUUGUGGGCGCACUCUGCAUUUGCUCAAGAGGUAAACUCAUGUCACAGAUUCCUGCGUUUGCUCAGGGCCAAGUUCAUCCAGGGCUCAGGCUUGGAGGUUUCUCCAGGGUGAAGCUCAUCCAUUGUCCUCUGGGCUUGCUGGUUGGUGGGCAUCCGUCUGUCUCGGGAGACGAUGGAGGGGUGCUCCUCUGGGAGUGAAGUCAGUGUAGAGGCAGGAUGCUAAGCUGAGAAAGGGGUUGGUGCCCCCCAAUUUGCUCCCACCCAUCACUGAAGAAAUUCAGCCCUCCUUUAUAAUAAGGCUGUUCUUCUUUGGCGAUCACUCGUAGCCGAGUAAGAGUGUCUUCCAUAACAAUGAGUCCGUAAGUGACUGUGGAGGCCAAUUCUGGACCCACACGUCCUUCCACAGUGGGGACUUAAGUUUCCAGAGGGAGUUAAAUCACAAUGAAGGUUUGCCAAACGUGCCUUCCUCCUGGCACGUUUUCCCCUUUCGCCCUGAGUUCGUGCUUCUUCUUCAAAGGCUGUUCUUCAAUGGGAGCGCUCGCAGGCCCGUGUUUCCCAGUUAUCAGUGCUUAUACUACAUUUCUAAAGAUUUGCCUUGAGAGCAUCUUUAGACCUCUUUUGUUGUCCACCGGCAUUUCGCUUCCCACACUUAAGUUGGGAAUAGAGUAGUUGCUUUGGAAAAUGAUAAUCGGGCAUCUGCACAACAUGACCAGUCCAAUGAAGGUGAUGCUGAAGAAUAAUGGGUGGGGAACCUGGGACCCUUGGAUGUCCUUGGACUAUAGCCGCCGCACAAUUUCUGUUCUCAUCCUGAAGCAAAGUUCUUAACCCGAGGUACUAUUUCUAGGUUAGCGGAGUCUGUAACCUGAAGUGUAUGUAACCUGAAGCGUAUGUAACCCGAGGUACCACUGUACUCUAUUCCAAACUUAAAAAUGUAAAGUGUAAUGCUGGUGGUCAACAAAAGUGGUUUAAAGACUGUCUCAAGGUAAAUUUUAAAAAAUGUAGUAUAAACACCGACAACUGGGAAACACUGGCCUGCGAGCACUCCAGCUGGAGAACAGCCUUUACCAAAGGUGUCAUGGACUUUGCAGACACUCAAACUCUGAACGCAAGGGCCUGAGGGAAGACAAUCUUCCUCGAUCGCCAAAGAAAGCAGCCGGGGGUCCCUUCCAAGAUGCUGCUGGACUCCCAAUUCCCCCCAGCAGCCGCAGGCUAUUUAGUCAGGUCUGCCCAGAGACUUAGAAAGUGGAGGUGAUUUUAACGUUCGAAUACUUUCACUUUCGCAGGUUCUAAAGUACUCGUGGCGAAUUGCCCCUUGCUUCCCUCGUUCUAUCUUUGCGGCGUUUUGCAAUCAAGCGGCGCAGAAGGGGCGCGGAAAUAAAUGAAGAUACGCAUUUGCAGUCCGGCCGCAGCUGGAGGGGCGCGCUGCGUUCGGCCGCCCCUGGCUGCGGAGUGUCCCCGAGGGGCUGAGAAGGUCACCGGUUCCCCGUCCCGAGCUGCACUCGGGUCAGAGGGAGGCGCUGCGAGUGGGAAAGGGCGCGCCUUCCCUGCCGAUUCCCAGAAGGAGCGGCUCCGGUUUCCCCUCAGGCGCUGCUUUCCCUCCCCCUUCCGCCGAGAAAUGAGAGCUGCUUCUUGGGCCUGAGCUCCCCCGCUCUCUCCUCGGCCCGGGUCGCCGAGUUCCUGCCGAGACGAGCCUUGGGUUUCUUCCCCCUACAUGCUCUCGCCGGAGCCGGUGGCGCAAGUCAGCUACCGGGACGCCUGAGGCCGCGCCUUCCCACGCCUACCUAGAGAUUUCCAGUUUGGGAUUUUGUUUGCAUUAUUGGGUAUAAUCAUUACCAUCAUUUUUAGCAUCAGGUUUUUGUUUUUUUAAAAAAUACAUUUCAGUAAAAAAUUUAUAACCUGCUCUCUGUCCCUUCCCAAUAUAGGCAGGAAUGGCUUUGCUGACAGAGAAGUCAAAUAAUAACCUAAAAAGUUAAUUAGGCAUGUCCAGGCCUCCUCUUAGUUCAGUGUUUGUUGGCUUAGGACCUUAAGAGUUACCAAGAACUUGUCAUUACUGAGGAGAUGGCUAAUAACGGUGGACAAACAGUGCUUACUAUCCAGAAAAGGAGAUCCUGGGCUCCAGUCUGUCUGGAAACAACGCCAUUAUGUUUUUUGGAAGUGGC
rnacentral:lncRNA from 1 species